AGUCUAUAGUUCAGAAUCGAAUGUAAUCCAUAAGGUAUAUAUUCGAACUACUUAUGUAAGAUGUUAAUUAUAAAAUGUGUGCAUUUUGGUUGAGCAGGUUUUAGUAAAAAAAAUCAAUAAACAAUUAUAUCUGAGAAAAUUGUUCAAAGCUACGAGUCAUUGUUGAGAGACCAGAUAAGUAGAUUUUUUUUUAAUUUAUCUGUUAUGAUAAGAUCUGGAAUAAAUGUGAUCGAAUCAUUCAAAAUUGUGAUUAUUCAAUACAAAUGUAAGAAUCAAAAAAUAACUUAACCUUGAGCUGUAUGAAGAUACUGAAUGAAAGUCAAGAAUAGAACUCGUAAAGAAUACAAAUUUCAGACUGAGCUUCAUUUCCACGUUUAUCUAAUUAAUACUAAUAUUUUUCAAACUUCGAAACGAUCAAAAUUAUGAUUUCAUAAUAAAAAUAUUUCGUAUCAUUAGCCACUAUGUCAAAACAAGAAUACCCGGUGGCCUCUAAUACGUCCUCACAGAAAAGGAUUACUCCAUAAUCGAUGACAUAAGAUCAAUAUCGAUGACAGGUGGCUCACAGCACCUUCAGCUUGACCUGAAGCGUUCACAUUUUUAAAAUGUUAAUUUAUCCCAUGAAGCAGAAAAUGAAGAUGAAACUCAUACAGGGCCGUCGUACCGUUGUUUCAUUUAUUCUGACUUCUUAAAUGUCAGUCAAAUCCGAACAGGCUAUUUUAGUGAAAAAUUCAAUAAUAACUGAAUAAAAUAUUCAGUGAUGUUUAUUGUGCAUGUAAAUUCAAAGAGGCCGCCAAAAUGUUAUUUCACGUCAUCAGUGACGUCCCUUGAAAGUAUCAACACUCAAGUGCGAAAUUAUUAUCUUUUUGUAUUUUUAUUAAAAUAUUUAGAUGUAUAUGAGUAUGUAAUUAAUACGACAAUACAACU